GAUGAACGCUGGCGGCGUGCCUAAUACAUGCAAGUCGAGCGAACAGACGAGGAGCUUGCUCCUUUGACGUUAGCGGCGGACGGGUGAGUAACACGUAGGUAACCUACCUAUAAGACUGGGAUAACUUCGGGAAACCGGAGCUAAUACCGGAUAAUAUUUCGAACCGCAUGGUUCGAUAGUGAAAGAUGGCUUUGCUAUCACUUAUAGAUGGACCUGCGCCGUAUUAGCUAGUUGGUAAGGUAACGGCUUACCAAGGCAACGAUACGUAGCCGACCUGAGAGGGUGAUCGGCCACCCUGGAACUGAGACACGGUCCAGACUCCUACGGGAGGCAGCAGUAGGGAAUCUUCCGCAAUGGGCGAAAGCCUGACGGAGCAACGCCGCGUGAGUGAUGAAGGUCUUCGGAUCGUAAAACUCUGUUAUUAGGGAAGAACAAAAGUGUAAGUAACUGUGCACGUCUUGACGGUACCUAAUCAGAAAGCCACGGCUAACUACGUG
rnacentral:rRNA from 1 species